rnacentral:rRNA from 1 species
UUCCUACGGGGGGCAGCAGUGGGGAGUAUUGCACAAUGGGGGAAACCCUGAUGCAGCGACGCCGCGUGAGCGAUGAAGUAUUUCGGUAUGUAAAGCUCUAUCAGCAGGGAAGAAACGGACGGUACCUGAGUAAGAAGCCCCGGCUAACUACGUGCCAGCAGCCGCGGUAAUACGUAGGGGGCAAGCGUUAUCCGGAUUUACUGGGUGUAAAGGGGGCGCAGACGGCGAUGCAAGCCAGGAGUGAAAGCCCGGGGCCCAACCCCGGGACUGCUCUUGGAACUGCGUGGCUGGAGUGCAGGAGGGGG